rnacentral:lncRNA from 1 species
UGGAAACUACUACAGUUUAUUGUACCAACCAAAAAGCAUUUAUUACAAUGGAAAAUAACUAAUAACAGUUUGUGUAAUUUUUGUAACAUAGAAGAAGACUAUGCUCAUUAUUUUUUCAAUUGCUCUUAUUUAACAAGAUUUUGGCAACAAAUAAACGAUCUCUUAAAAAAGAGUAAUUUAGAUUUUUCAAUAAAAUUACAACACAUGAUAUUUGGAUACAAAAUUACAGACAGCAAGUAUUACCCAAUAAAUUUUUUGGUUACAAUUAUUAGUUUUUCAAUAUAUAAGUCGUAAUAUGUAUCUGAGCAGAAAACAAAAAACAUAGACGUAUUCAGAAUUUUUAUUAAUGAAUACACCAAGAGAGUAGAUACCAAUAUUAAUGGACAUAAGACAAUAAGUCUAAUGUUGCUUUCAAUUAAAAGAAACAUAAUCAAUGAAUAAUUUUUAUAUUGUUAAUAUAGAGUUUUGUAAACAAAAUAUAUGUCAAUUAAUUUAAUCAGCUGAUUAUUUCCUGGGUAGUCAGUGGAUUGUAACAGGGUACGUCAAGAGAAGCUUGGAAUCUUGAUGGUUUAUGUAACAAGCAAUAUUUUAUAAAUAAAAUUAAUAUGUAG